rnacentral:lncRNA from 1 species
CUUUCUGUUUUGUCUCCAAUGAAGAGAUUCCAGGAAUACUCCUAAGUCUGUAUUUAUCAUCCCUCAAAUGAUGAUGCAACAAAUUUGGGCCAAAGUGGAGGUGAAGAUGAGUAUGAAAAGGUGCAGAUCCUUAAUACAGACAAGCAAGAGACAUUGCCUUGGGCCCUGGGCCAUGGACUGGACUCGAGGAGGACAUUGCCUUGGAUUCUAAGCUUUUAGCUGGACUUGUGUGGGAAACUUUGGGCUUCUAGUGUGUGGUUAAUCUCUUGCACUCCUUUGCAUUUGACUUUUUGUGUAAUUAUCAUAAAAUAAUCUUAGAAAUUGUGUGUCCUGUAUUUAAUUUAUUCCCUUGCCAAAUCCUGCUGUCUACAACAAAUACAUUACUGGGAAAGUCGCUCAUCACACAUUCAC